rnacentral:rRNA from 1 species
CUGCUUCUACUUUCUGUAUGGAGCUGGGAGCAUCUGCCUGUUGGACGCCCGAAGAGCGUCAGGUUUGAUCCUUGGUAUGCAGAUGAACAUGACGAAUUACGGCGCCCCACGUGGGCUUACAAGUGGGAUAUCGUUUCCGAGAUGACGAACGAUGUCAAUCUCAUGUACCAAAAGUACAUUGCCGAGUUGGACACGAUUACGCGUGAGCAGGUAAGGAGGUCAUUACUUUAG